AAAUUGAAGAGUUUGAUCAUGGCUCAGAUUGAACGCUGGCGGCAGGCCUAACACAUGCAAGUCGAACGGUAACAGGAAGCAGCUUGCU
rnacentral:rRNA from 16 species